rnacentral:rRNA from 1 species
AUUGAACGCUGGCGGCAGGCCUAACACAUGCAAGUCGAACGGUAACAGGAAGCAGCUUGCUGCUUUGCUGACGAGUGGCGGACGGGUGAGUAAUGUCUGGGAAACUGCCUGAUGGAGGGGGAUAACUACUGGAAACGGUAGCUAAUACCGCAUAACGUCGCAAGACCAAAGAGGGGGACCUUCGGGCCUCUUGCCAUCGGAUGUGCCCAGAUGGGAUUAGCUAGUAGGUGGGGUAACGGCUCACCUAGGCGACGAUCCCUAGCUGGUCUGAGAGGAUGACCAGCCACACUGGAACUGAGACACGGUCCAGACUCCGACGGGAGGCAGCAGUGGGGAAUAUUGCACAAUGGGCGAAAGCCUGAUGCAGCCAUGCCGCGUGUAUGAAGAAGGCCUUCGGGUUGUAAAGUACUUUCAGCGGGGAGGAAGGGAGUAAAGUUAAUACCUUUGCUCAUUGACGUUACCCGCAGAAGAGACACCGGCGAACUCCGU